GGUGGGUGGCAGACAAAUCCAGGCAGCACCCAGGAGCCCUCAUGGCUCCCCUGCUCCAGCUUGGUGGCCACAGCCUGACGCCCCUUCCCUCAGGGCUGCGCCAGGCCUGUGGAAAUCUUUGUGACCCAGGUUUCACUCAUGGGCCAAGAUACUCUGCACUUGCUCUCAGCAGGGACAGCGCUCCGUGCAGUGCCUGCAGCCUUCAUACAGCUCAGCUCUUCUUUCUGGGAGCUAGGAAGCUGUCAGCUUAGCUCUCUGUGGGCAGGGUUUUUAAAAUUCUGUUUGUCUGCAGUCAGAGCUAAUGGUCCCAGCACACAAAUCCCCACCUACAGGCCUGUCAAGGAGGCACAAGGCCCACACCCAUCCCUCCAGGUGCCCUUGUGCAAGUGACAAGCACCCACAGCCUCAGGGGAGUCCUCACUCCCCGAUCUCAACGUGUUGCUCUCUGCAGCGUUUAGCGCCCGCGAUGCGCAAUCCCUGGAGGAAGAUAGCCUAGUGGGCUGCACGCCCAGCACCACUCAAGGCCAUAGGUGCAAAUGUGGAGUCUGGUCUUCACGGGCCCUGGAAAGGAGACCUUUCCAUACCUGGGGUUUGGGAGCAGUGGGAGGCAGGUGUGGGGAGAGGGUUCUCAGUGACCCCUGUACACUGAAGACUCCCUCUCCAUCGGUGCUGUGCUGGGUCUGCUAGGCCUGCAGAUGUGCUGGUGGCAGAACCAGGCACUCCAGGAGAGGGCCCACGGUCCUGUCGGGCAUUGCCACAGCCUUGCCUGGAGAAGCAGAGCCUCCCCCAGCAUCCAGCUGGCCAGCAAGUUUUCAAGAACUCUACACUUUUCCCAAAUAAGCU